UUCAGUUUCAGCCCCAGUGCCAUUAUGAUGGAUGUUUACAUCUCUUCCCUGAGAGCCAAUUAUCGCGCUUUUGUGUGAGGCCCAAGAAUCACUCAUGCUGCCAGGCUGCACAGAGCACUGUUGGAUCUAGCUGAACGAAUUGUUUUCCCUGUCUCUGAAGCCAUGUAUGAGCAUCAUUAAAGACAAGAAGCAGCUCUUGCUUUGUAAACAAAUGAACAGUAAACCUCCUAACAUUAAGACUUGGGACCUCCAGAAGGCCACAAAAUAAUCUAAAGGAGCAUUAUUGUGCCAGGAAAUAUUCAUGGCCUGCUAAAUAGAAAAGCUCUCAUACCUUACGGCACUGGAGAAAUUAACUGAAACCGCAAAAGAGAAGAUAUACAAGAUAUGUACUAAAAAUCUGUAUAAUUAAAGAAAAUACUACCCUAAAAUAAACAAAUAUGAAUACAAAA